rnacentral:rRNA from 2 species
UGGGGAAUAUUGCACAAUGGGGGAAACCCUGAUGCAGCGACGCCGCGUGAACGAAGAAGGUAUUCGUAUCGUAAAGUUCUGUCCUAUGGGAAGAUAAUGACAGUACCAUAGAAGAAAGCUCCGGCUAAAUACGUGCCAGCAGCCGCGGUAAUACGUAUGGAGCGAGCGUUGUCCGGAAUUAUUGGGCGUAAAGGGUACGCAGGCGGUUUAAUAAGUCGAAUGUUAAAGAUCGGGGCUCAACCCCGUAAAGCAUUGGAAACUGAUAAACUUGAGUAGUGGAGAGGAAAGUGGAAUUCCUAGUGUAGUGGUGAAAUACGUAGAUAUUAGGAGGAAUACCAGUAGCGAAGGCGACUUUCUGGACACAAACUGACGCUGAGGUACGAGAGCGUGGGGAGCAAACAGG